UCAAGCGUCUUGAAGAGCAUUUGGUGGAUGCCUUGGUACAGAGAGGCGAUGAAGGACGUGACACGCUGCGAUAAGCUGUGGGGAGCCGUGAGUAGGCUUUGAUCCGCAGAUUUCCGAAUGGGGAAACCCAAACCAUUUUGGUUUAUCCCGCAAGGGAGGCAAACCCAGCGAACUGAAAUAUCUAAGUAGCUGGAGGAAAGGACAUCAACCGAGACUCCGUUAGUAGUGACGAGCGAACGCGGACCAGGCCAGUGGCCAAUUUGAAGAUAACCGGAAUAACCUGGAAAGGUUAGCCAUAGUAGGUGAUAGCCCCGUACGGGUAAUACUUCAUUUUGGUCCUUGAGUAGGGCGGGACACGAGAAAUCCUGCUUGAACAUGGGGGGACCACCCUCCAAGCCUAAGUACUACUCUGUGACCGAUAGCGAACAAGUACCGUGAGGGAAAGGUGAAAAGAACCCCUAUGAGGGGAGUGAAACAGACCUGAAACCGAAUGCUUACAAACAGUAGGAGCAACAUUAAGUUGUGACUGCGUACCUUUUGUAUAAUGGGUCAGCGAGUUAAUUUAUCGAGCAAGCUUAAGCCGUUAGGUGUAGGCGAAGCGAAAGCGAGUAUGAAUAGUGCGUUUUAGUUCGAUGGAUUAGACCCGAAACCGGGUGAUCUAGCUAUGGGCAGGUUGAAGGUGCGGUAACACGCACUGGAGGACCGAACCCACGUCUGUUGAAAAAGACGGGGAUGACCUGUGGCUAGGGGUGAAAGGCCAAUCAAACCCGGAGAUAGCUGGUUCUCCGCGAAAACUAUUUAGGUAGUGCGUUAUAUAUUACUGCCGGGGGUAGAGCACUGGAUGGGCUAGGGGGGCGCGAGCCUUACCAAACCUAACCAAACUCCGAAUACCGGUAAGUACAGCAUGGCAGACAGACUAUGGGUGCUAAGGUCCAUAGUCGAGAGGGAAACAGCCCAGACCACCAGCUAAGGUCCCCAAGUUAUGGCUAAGUGGGAAAGGAUGUGGGAAGGCCAAGACAGCCAGGAGGUUGGCUUAGAAGCAGCCAUCCUUUAAAGAAAGCGUAACAGCUCACUGGUCUAAAUAAGCCGGCCUGCGCCGAAGAUGUAACGGGGCUAAAGCCAUACACCGAAGCUGUGGAUGCCGUAAGGCAUGGUAGCGGAGCGUUCUGUAAGCCGCUGAAGGUAACACGUGAGUGUUAUUGGAGGUAUCAGAAGUGAGAAUGCUGACAUGAGUAGCGAUAAAGAGUGUGAGAAACACUCUCGCCGAAAGCCCAAGGGUUCCUGCGCAAGGUUAAUCCACGCAGGGUUAGUCGGCCCCUAAGAUAAGUGCGAAAGCAGUAGUCGAUGGGAACACGGUUAAUAUUCCGUGACCUGAUGGUAGUGACGGAUGGUGUAUAUUGUAAAUGCUUAUCGGAUUGCGUUUGCAGUGAAGCCGUUCCAGGAAAUAGCUCCAUCAUUAAGACCGUACCCGAAACCGACACAGGUGGGCAGGUAGAGAAUACCAAGGCGCUUGGGAGAAUGAUGUUGAAGGAACUCGGCAAAAUGCACCCGUAACUUCGGAAUAAGGGUGGCCUGCUCUGGGCAACCAGAUGCAGGUAGCAUAAAAUAGGGGGUAGCGACUGUUUAUUAAAAACAUAGGGCUCUGCGAAGUGGUAACACGACGUAUAGGGUCCGACGCCUGCCCGGUGCUGGAAGGUUAAGAGGAGUUGUGCAAGCAGCGAAUUGAAGCCCCAGUAAACGGCGGCCGUAACUAUAACGGUCCUAAGGUAGCGAAAUUCCUUGUC
rnacentral:rRNA from 1 species